rnacentral:tRNA from 2 species
GCCGGUAUAGCUCAGCUGGUAGAGCAUCUGAUUUGUAAUCAGGGGGUCGCGGGUUCGAAUCCUGCUGCCGGCA